rnacentral:rRNA from 1 species
AACGAACGCUGGCGGCAGGCCUAACACAUGCAAGUCGAGCGCCCAGCAAUGGGAGCGGCAGACGGGUGAGUAACACGUGGGAACCUUCCCUAUAGUACGGAAUAGCCCAGGGAAACUUGGAGUAAUACCGCAUACGCCCGAGAGGGGAAAGAUUUAUCGCUAUAGGAUGGGCCCGCGUAGGAUUAGCUAGUUGGUGAGGUAAUGGCUCACCAAGGCGACGAUCCUUAGCUGGUCUGAGAGGACGACCAGCCACACUGGGACUGAGACACGGCCCAGACUCCUACGGGAGGCAGCAGUGGGGAAUAUUGGACAAUGGGCGCAAGCCUGAUCCAGCCAUGCCGCGUGAGUGAUGAAGGCCUUAGGGUUGUAAAGCUCUUUUGCCGGGGACGGAUAAUGACGGGUACCCGGAGGAAUAAGUACCCGGCUAACUUCCGUGCCAGCAGCCGCGGUAAUCUGAGUCGGAG